GACGAACGCUGGCGGCGUGCUUAGCACAUGCAAGUCGAACGGAAAGGCCCUGCUUUUGUGGGGAGCUCGAGUGGCGAACGGGUGAGUAACACGUGAGUAACCUGCCCUUGACUUUGGGAUAACUUCAGGAAACUGGGGCUAAUACCGGAUAGGAGCUCCUGCUGCAUGGUGGGGGUUGGAAAGUUUCGGCGGUUGGGGAUGGACUCGCGGCUUAUCAGCUUGUUGGUGGGGUAGUGGCUUACCAAGGCUUUGACGGGUAGCCGGCCUGAGAGGGUGACCGGCCACAUUGGGACUGAGAUACGGCCCAGACUCCUACGGGAGGCAGCAGUGGGGAAUAUUGCACAAUGGGCGGAAGCCUGAUGCAGCAACGCCGCGUGCGGGAUGACGGCCUUCGGGUUGUAAACCGCUUUCGCCUGUGACGAAGCGUGAGUGACGGUAAUGGGUAAAGAAGCACCGGCUAACUACGUG
rnacentral:rRNA from 1 species